UCGUGUCGUGAGAUGUUGGGUUAAGUCCCGCAACGAGCGCAACCCUUAUUGUUAGUUGCUACCAUUUAGUUGAGCACUCUAGCGAGACUGCCCGGGUUAACCGGGAGGAAGGUGGGGAUGACGUCAAAUCAUCAUGCCCCUUAUGUCUAGGGCUACACACGUGCUACAAUGGCUGGUACAGAGAGAUGCUAAACCGCGAGGUGGAGCCAAACUUUAAAACCAGUCUCAGUUCGGAUUGUAGGCUGAAACUCGCCUACAUGAAGCUGGAGUUGCUAGUAAUCGCGAAUCAGAAUGUCGCGGUGAAUACGUUCCCGGGCCUUGUACACACCGCCCGUCACACCAUGAGAGUUGGCAAUACCCAAAGUUCGUGAGCUAACCCGUAAGGGAGGCAGCGACCUAAGGUAGGGUCAGCGAUUGGGGUGAAGUCGUAACAAGGUAGCCGUAGGAGAACCUGCGGUUGGAUCACCUC
rnacentral:rRNA from 1 species